AGGCCGGUUCGGAGCUCGGUGUCCUCGCCUGCAGUCCGAGGCAGAGCUUGAGCGGGAUGCGGUCCUGAGGAUGCUGAGGCAGCACCUUUUGUGGAUGGAGUUUCUUCUGACAUGGAAACAAGAGGAUUAAACAAUACAUUUGAUUUUAAAAUAAGCCAAGCCAUGGACCAUGGAUUGGUGAAGUUCCGAGAUGUGGCCAUAGAUGUCUCUCAGGAAGAGUGGGAAUGCCUGAAUCCUUCGCAGAGGAAUUUGUACAAAGAUGUGAUGUUGGAAAACUAUAGCAACUUGGUUUCACUUGGUAAAGUUAUCUAAGAAUGCAGAUGCUUCUCACAACUGAGAAUCUACUUCUCAGGAUUUGUAUUUUCUCUUCCAUUGAUUUUUUUCUAUGUGCAGAAAUAAGCAUAGCUGGAUGAAAGUUCUGGUCCUUU